rnacentral:rRNA from 1 species
GACGAACGCUGGCGGCGUGCUUAACACAUGCAAGUGGAGCGACGAAGCGGACUUCGGUCUGUGGCAGAGCCGCGAACGGGUGAGUAACACGUGGGUAACCUGCCCCGAUGACUGGGACAACCCGGGGAAACUCGGGCUAAUACCGGAUGUGCUGGAUCUCCUUGAGGGGGUUUAGUAAAGAUAGCUUUGGCCUUCGCAUCGGGAUGGGCCCGCGGCCCAUUAGCUUGUUGGUGGGGUAAUGGCUUACCAAGGCUUCGAUGGGUAGCUGGUCUGAGAGGACGAUCAGCCACACUGGGACUGAGACACGGCCCAGACUCCUACGGGAGGCAGCAGUGGGGAAUCUUGCGCAAUGCGCGAAAGCGUGACGCAGCAACGCCGCGUGGGGGAAGAAGGCCUUCGGGUUGUAAACCCCUUUCAGUUGGGACGAAGCUUCCAGGGUUAAUAGCUUUGUGGAGUGACGGUACCUUCAGAAGAAGCCCCGGCUAACUACGUGCCAGCCGCCGCAGUAAAAC